UCGAGAAUCUUCGUCAAUGGGCGAAAGCCUGAACGAGCGACGCCGCGUGCGGGAUGAAGGCCCUUGGGUUGUAAACCGCUGUCGAGGGGGAUGAAGGCUUGAAGGUACUCCUUCAAGUUUGACAGAGCCCUGGAGGAAGCACGGGCUAAGUUCGUGCCAGCAGCCGCGGUAAUACGAACUGUGCGAACGUUAUUCGGAAUCACUGGGCUUACAGGGUGCGUAGGCGGCUAUUCAGGUCAGGUGUGAAAGCCCCCGGCUCAACCGGGGAACUGCGCUUGAAACCGAAUGGCUCGAGUCAGCUAGAGGUACACGGAACUUCCAGUGGAGCGGUGAAAUGUGUUGAUAUUGGAAGGAACACCGGAGGCGAAAGCGGUGUACUGGGGCUGGUCUGACGCUGAGGCACGAAAGCCAGGGGAGCGAACGGG
rnacentral:rRNA from 1 species